CGGACGGGUGAGUAAUGUCUGGGAAACUGCCUGAUGGAGGGGGAGUAACUACUGGAAACGGUAGCUAAUACCGCAUAACGUCGCAAGACCAAAGAGGGGGACCUUCGGGCCUCUUGCCAUCGGAUGUGCCCAGAUGGGAUUAGCUAGUAGGUGGGGUAACGGCUCACCUAGGCGACGAUCCCUAGCUGGUCUGAGAGGAUGAUCAGCCACACUGGGACUGAGACACGGCCCAGACUCCUACGGGAGGCAGCAUG
rnacentral:rRNA from 1 species